rnacentral:rRNA from 1 species
CAUUUGAAACUGGUUGACUAGAGUUUCGUAGAGGGUGGUAGAAUUUCAGGUGUAGCGGUGAAAUGCGUAGAGAUCUGAAGGAAUACCAGUGGCGAAGGCGGCCACCUGGACAAAGACUGACACUGAGGCGCGAAGGCGUGGGGAGCAAACGGGAUUAGAUACCCCGGUAGUCCACGCAGUAAACGAUGUCUAUUAGAAGUUUGUGGCUAUAUGCCGUGGGUUUCAAAGCUAACGCAUUAAAUAGACCGCCUGGGGAGUACGGCCGCAAGGUUAAAACUCAAAUGAAUUGACGGGGGCCCGCACAAGCGGUGGAGCAUGUGGUUUAAUUCGAUGCAACGCGAAGAACCUUACCAUCCCUUGACAUCCAGAGAAUCACCUAGAGAUAGAUGAGUGCCUUCGGGAACUCUGAGACAGGUGCUGCAUGGCUGUCGUCAGCUCGUGUUGUGAAAUGUUGGGUUAAGUCCCGCAACGAGCGCAACCCUUAUCCUUAGUUGCCAGCACGUAAUGGUGGGAACUCUAGGGAGACUGCCGGUGAUAAACCGGAGGAAGGUGGGGACGACGUCAAGUCAUCAUGGCCCUUACGGGAUGGGCUACACACGUGCUACAAUGGCAAAUACAAAGGGUUGCUAACCUGCGAGGGUAUGCGAAUCUCAUAAAGUUUGUCGUAGUCCGGAUCGGAGUCUGCAACUCGACUCCGUGAAGUUGGAAUCGCUAGUAAUCGUGGAUCAGAAUGCCACGGUGAAUACGUUCCCGGGCCUUGUACACACCGCCCGUCACACCAUGGGAGUGGGCUGCACCAGAAGUCAUUAGCUUAACCUUCGGGAUGGCGAUGACCACGGUGUGGUUCAUGACUGGGGUGAA